rnacentral:miRNA from 1 species
UCUGUUCAUUCUUCGACCCAAA